rnacentral:rRNA from 1 species
AAUGGGCGAAAGCCUGAUCCAGCGACGCCGCGUGAAUGAUGAAGGCCUUCGGGUUGUAAAGUUCUUUUGGCAGGGAAGAUAGUGACGGUACCUGCAGAAUAAGCCCCGGCUAACUCUGUGCCAGCAGCCGCGGUAAGACAGAGGGGGCUAGCGUUGUUCGGAAUCACUGGGCGUAAAGGGCGCGUAGGCGGCCAUGUAAGUCAGAGGUGAAAGCCUGGAGCUUAACUCCAGAAUUGCCUUUGAUACUGCUUGGCUCGAGUCCGGAAGAGGGUGGUGGAAUUCCUAGUGUAGAGGUGAAAUUCGUAGAUAUUAGGAGGAACACCGAUGGCGAAGGCAGCCACCUGGUCCGGUACUGACGCUGAGGCGCGAAAGCGUGGGGAGCAAA